UUCUCUUUAGCUUAAAUUUAAAGCAUUAGUUUGAAGCGCUGAGGAUAAUUUUAUUAAGGGAGA
rnacentral:tRNA from 1 species